GAGGCCUCCAGAGGAAAGGAAAGGAGGAAAAGGGACAGAAGAAAUGUUCACAGGAACUGCAUAUGGGCCUGCUACUUGUGUCAAAAUGUGACUGAACUCUCUUCCAGCAGACUCUCUCUUUGUCACCCAGGCUGGAGUGCAGUGGUGUGAUCUCGGCUCACUGCAACCUCUGCUUCCCGGGUUCAAACGAUGCAUAGUAUGGCAGCAAUUAAGAUGGAAGUAAUGAGGAAAAGGAAUACUCAUCAAUGGAGAUUAGAGAGAGCCAAGUGUGAAUCCCUGGAAGGCAAGAUCGCCAUUCUGGUCUCUUGUGGAUAUCAAUGCUGAUCUCAGCUUCUGAUGCACGGCAGUCAAUUAAUAAAUGAUUGUUGCCUGAAAAACUGAGCCCCAAAACAAUAUUACAAGUUUAAUAUCAGUAAAGGAUUUAAUGCUUUCUAACAUGAAGAUACCAGAAGUUGCUGAUUUUUGUAUAACCCAGAGAUGGAUUUAAAUGCAGAGUGUAUGAACUUCUUCAUUCCUGAGGGAGGACUUAUGAUUUCAUGAGAAAUGCCCCAGGAAAGGGGCCGGGGAGACUGAUGGAGAAGAAGAGUUUGGGAGGGAAGCCCCAGUGACCAUCUGCCCCAUCAGGGUCACAUGCAGAGGGUCCUGCUCCUGCCGUUGGAAGUUGGCUUCCUGAGCUGCUGAACGUGCCAGUCCUGCUGACCCACUCUCAGAUAUCACAGGCACCCGCUGUGUCUGAAAGAGACCUUUCUGCAAGUACACGUGCAGGUCUGCUCUGCAAAGGCGUUAUCAUCUGCAGAUUAUUGCACAGAGUGGCUACGAGCUGUGGUGUGAUCCUGUCACAGAGAGAGCCUGGUCACGUUUUCAGAACAGCAGGAAACAGGUACACCUGUAAGCUUAUACUUAUCAGAUUUAAAGAUAAAACAAAAAAUCCAUGCUAUUCCAUGAAAAUCGGACUCAAAUAAACUUAGUCACUGAUCUGUGAAGUAAAUAAUCUGAUGGUAAUGCAUCAGUUGACACUUGGGCCUGGGUUUUUAGGCACUAAUGAAAGCCGGGGCAAAAUAAUUUUUAAUCUACCAUUAUUUCCCUUGAUGGUUCAACAAAAGUUCUUGUACUAGAAAGUUUUAUAAAACUACUUUCUCAGUGUCCUGUGACAUUUCUCUGAUGAUAGAAAAAGUCAAUAUUUGAUAGCUUAAAUAUCAAUAUUGACAGAAAUAUGAUUAUUUAAAUAAAAACACAAAUAGUAAAAUAA
rnacentral:lncRNA from 1 species